GAGCACGUAGGUGGGUUUGUAAGUCAGACGUGAAAGCCUUCUGUUCAACGGAAGAAUUGCAUCUGAAACUACAAACCUUGAGUGUAGGAGGGGAGAAUGGAACUUCUGGUGGAGCGGUGAAAUGCGUAGAUAUCAGAAGGAACGCCGGCGGCGAAAGCGAUUCUCUGGCCUAUUACUGACACUCAGUGUGCGAAAGCUAGGGGAGCAAACGGGAUCAGAUACCCCGGUAGUCCUAGCCGUAAACGAUGGGCACUAAGUAGAGGG
rnacentral:rRNA from 1 species